AAGGAAAAAAAGCACUUCACAUUGAUUCAUUGAAAAUGACACGUAUAUGGGAGGGAAGGGGCUCAAGAUUAAAGGUGGGCAUCCAGCACAGAUGCACGCUGUUGUCAGGAAGAUGCCAUCUCAUGUGGGAUAUUUGUCCUGAAAUAUGCAGAGGAACUACUGCCAGAGGAGCCUCUGACAUUCACUACCAACACUGCAGCAGUAAAUCUGUAUCGAAGACAGAGUGCGAUGACCCUGAUCAAUGAGACUGUGUGUUCAGGAGCCCGAUCCCAUCAAGUCCUACAGCUGUGCGGCAUGCACAUUUUAAGAUUCUCCUCCCUUCACCUUUUAUUAUUCAAUAUUUAUAUUUUAGUAUUAAAGUUACCAUUCAAAUAAAUAAGU